rnacentral:piRNA from 1 species
UCUCAAACAGGUCAGGGUGCCCCGCCCCAC